AACGAACGCUGGCGGCAGGCUUAACACAUGCAAGUCGAACGCCCCGCAAGGGGAGUGGCAGACGGGUGAGUAACGCGUGGGAACAUACCCCUUCCUGCGGAAUAGCUCUGGGAAACUGGAACUAAUACCGCAUACGCCCUACGGGGGAAAGAUUUAUCGGGGAAGGAUUGGCCCGCGUUGGAUUAGCUAGUUGGUGGGGUAAAGGCCUACCAAGGCGACGAUCCAUAGCUGGUCUGAGAGGAUGAUCAGCCACAUUGGGACUGAGACACGGCCCAAACUCCUACGGGAGGCAGCAGUGGGGAAUAUUGGACAAUGGGCGCAAGCCUGAUCCAGCCAUGCCGCGUGAGUGAUGAAGGCCUUAGGGUUGUAAAGCUCUUUCACCGAUGAAGAUAAUGACGGUAGUCGGAGAAGAAGCCCCGGCUAACUUCGUGCCAGCCGCCGCCGUAAUAC
rnacentral:rRNA from 1 species